CCAACAGAAGUACUCGAUCCUUCUCGAAAAGGGAAGAAGCAUGGAACCAAACUGGCCGCUGCCGCUCCACACGCCACCGGCGCUGGUCGCUCCAAACGCCUCUCCUGACUCCACUCUGGCUCAGCAGCUCCACCUCUACCGCCACCCCUCCUCCUCCGACGCUGACAUCAGCAAGUACGCCGCCGGCGCGGCCCAUCCCCCAAGUCGACGACACCUGUUGUUGCCUCCUCUUCUGAGUUCUGAUGCAGCAGCCCCGCUGCCCACCACCUCUUGCCCCUACCCCAUCUCCAUCAAUGUCCACGCCGGCAAGUACGCCGUCGGAGCCGUCCGUCCGCCGAGUGCGCAAUGCUUCUCCCGCAUCCUCCUCUGCUGCAGAAGCCCCAUCACCCCCCCCCCCCCCCCCCCCCCCGUCCUCGCUGUCUCCACCAUCGCCGACCUUCGCGUAUGCCGGCUACGCGCUACACAUCCUCGGCGGCCUCGCCGACGUGCUCCACGUUCUUCCAAUUCGAGUAUGAGCUGCUCCCCGAGGACCUCUUUGUCGUCUGCAAUUGAAGCGCCACGAGCUCCACACCCGCGGCAUCCUCCAAUCGAGUCGGUCCGUCUCGGAGAUGGCUGGUCUGAUCCCUGGUUUGAUCUGUGAUGUUGACGUGGAGGAACUAUGCUCUCCUAUUGCCAUCUACUUAUAAUAUUCUUUGUCAAGGACCAAGGUAUGGGUGUGGUGGCCGAAUAGUAAAAUAUCCUAUACGUUUCAUCAGUUUUUGCUUCAUAUCUGUUAGACAAUCCUUGCUUGUGCAAGUGCAUAGAUGUUCUGGUGGUAACAAAUGAAACUGUCUUCUAUAGUAUCCAUAAGCAGUGGCCACUGGUUUCAAUUACUUAUCCAGAAUCUUCUUGAGGAUGAAUUUUGAGUAUUGUAAAUGUUCGUAUAUGCCUCCCUGAACCAGUAUCCACACAGGCAACUCUAUGUUGCUCUUUGUAGAAAUACAUCUAGAAGGAAUAUAAAUUUUCUUACUUUCUCGGAUAAGAAAAAGGAAGGCGAGUCCAACUCAUUGCAAAUUUUACAAAAUGAUCUACAAAUAAGUCUCAAUGUGUAGUCCAAGGUAUAAAGGAAGUACAAUUUGGUGGCAGUAAAAAAACAAUUUAUCUAAUAGGGCAUUUCAUCUAAAAUUGCUUCUCAUGUAUGGUUCUGAAGUUUGUGCAGAGGACUUCUAGAAAAUAUAACUUUAGAUACUUGCUUUAGUGUUUAUGAUAUUUUGGUAUAAAAAAAUCAUACAUGUGUUUAAAUUAUUUUUUGGUAGUUCUCUUUGUUACUCCCGCUGUUCAAAAAAUUGGGAUGGCGCCUACAGCAGGUCUCUUUGUCAUGGAAGCCCCUCCUUUGCUUGGUAGCUCCACAUCCAAUUUUUCAGCUCACACGCCAAUUUUUUUCCCUUGAUGUCGGUUACCGGCAUCUUUUUUUUUGCAGAAUCUUGAUUGAUGUAAGAAAGUUACAAGAGGCCCGGUACAUUUUUUUUUGUGUGUGUAUAUGCACAUGUACACUCGCUACUUCUAUAUGCACAUGAUUCUGAAGCAUCUCUUACUAUACAUUUUGCUUUGUUUAAAUACACUACAAGCUCAGUUUUUUCCUUUGUCUGAAUGUAACACAGGCAAUUAUGUAUGCAGCAGUGAUUAUGUGAUGUCCUUUAUAUAAAAUCGCAUGACUUCGUCAGACAUAUGCACAUAUAUACUCAGUAUCAGCUCCAACUACACUUGGAUUUUUGGUUCUCACCAAAUCACUGAAAUAUUUGAAAAUUCAUGAUUUACAUGGAAGGUCCAAAAGAUGUUCGAUAAGCUUAGGAGUUUUCCGGAGAAACCCUUGGAUUUAGGUCUGAAGCUGAAGAACUACAAGGUCAAAGAAGCAGCAAGUCGUACGCCCCAAAUGUUAUAGCCCUCGUGCCAACAAAGUGCUAAAGGAAAACAAAAAGGGUUGGUAUCCUGUACUUUACCGCCUGGCAAAACAAUCUGCUUGCAUAUUUCUUAAUUUUCGUACCCAACCAUUUAUGUCCAACUUGCAAUGAAUGGUCGACGGCAGUAACAUGCCCAACAUAACUUGCCCCAAUGGUAUGCCAUAUGCUCGAACAAGUUUAUUUAUACCAUCAUUACAUAUGUCGUUCCUGGCGGUGCUGAUGCCAAUUACCCUGAGCCAUUAUGCCUGCUCCUAACCGCAGUCAUCCCUCCAUAAGUUAUGUGUUUCUCCUAUCAGAUCCAAGAAUUUGGUCAUUUUUUGGAGUAGAGAUGUGUAUCAGAUACGUGUGCGAUUGAAACCGUGCUCUCUCCUAAACAUGUGAUUUGCUAAAUGUUUAGAAUGAAUCGGUUGCGGAUCCGCAUAGCACCUUGUGAGCUGCACAUUUAGACUUUCUGUUUGAUUCCUUGUAGAAGCUCGCAGUUCAUCCUUGCUGAAAUUCACUGUACUCCAUCCCUCGGGCUGGUACCAGAUUUGCUAUUCAGUAUCUAGACCAUAUUUUAAUUGUGACGUGUGUCAGAUUUUUGUACUUGGCCUGAUUUGGUGUAAGGCAAAUAGGGGAUCAUGAUCAAGGAUGACUAAAUGUAUUAUUUAGUAGAUAAGUUCUCGAGUCCCACACUUUGUAUCAAGUACUUUAACUUCACAGUCUUCGGAAAAAAUAUUAGUCUGUGUUUAACAUAAUUUGAAAUAAUCACUUUUACAAAAAAACAUAUGCGUACUUGUGUUGUUGUGUGAGAUCUACUUGGAAGUGCUAUAUGAUAAAAUAUAUGUAGCAUUAAUAAUAUCCUUCUGAUUUGUGGUCUGAUAUGUGCUAAUGAGUGCAGUGUUGCUUGUAGAUAGAUUUUUCAUGACUUCAAGUUGUGCCUUCCAACUCCAAGAUGAUGUGUCCCAAAGCCCGUUUGGCGAGAUCUAAAUGGUUGGCUUAGAAGUAGGAUUUUGUUAGUUGAAAACUUUAUGUUUGAUUGUGCUAGAUGUGUACCUAUCAAGUAUGUUUGAUUGUGCUAGAUGUGUACCUAUCAACUAUAUGAGAUCGAUUUGAUCAAUGUCUCAGUACAUUCUUGUGUUUUUUCUUA